CACUGACUGGGAGCUUCAGUUGUCUGAAGGAUUCUGUUAUGGCAGUUCUGCAAAGCUCAGUGAGGAAACCAUCGUUUAAAACAAUGUCUUUCUGUUUGUUAAUAGUUUUAAUGGCAUUUAUUGGUGCCAGUAUACAAGACAGCAUUAAUCCAACAUCUCCUGCUGUCCAUACAAAGGACAAUGAAAAAGUGACUAUUUCUUGUGAAUACCAGUACACUGUGUCAAUGAAUAAUCUACAGUGGUAUCGACAACACCUCAACAAUACCCCACCGGAAUUCCUGAUUCUGAUCAUGGAGUCGGGACAAAUGCAGACCGCUACACCUCCUCAUCCUCGGCUGACAGCCUCAGUUGAUAAAGCAAACAAGAUGGUGAAUCUGGAAAUCUUCCCUGCAGAUGUGGCGGAUUCUGCAAUGUAUUACUGUGCACUGCAGCCCACAGUGGCAGGAAACACCAUGAACACCAUACAAAAACCUGCUCAAAGCUAAAAGG